CACCAGUCCUUUCCAUCUGAUCUUUUCCUUCACUCAUGAAUCGGAUAGGGAGCAAAUAGAGUAUAGAGCAUAAGAAAGUAAAAAUGAAAGACAAAGUUAAUGAAAGUAUAUAAGAAGAAUCAAGUCAAUUUUUUUUUAAUCACUUGAAAACAGAAUUUAAGGAUGAAAUCAAUGCAAGAUUAUAUUUAAAUAGGGGGAGUUUAUUUGAAAAGAAUUGAUUUUGAUCCUUGACAUGCUUGUUCUUAUUAUUUUAAUGCAUGACUUAACACAUAAUAUAUUUUGCAUGUGGCAUGAUGUCUUGAAUUAUGGGUUCUCAAUAUUUUGUAAUGCUUCAUGCUUGGAUAAUUUGAUUGAAUGUUUGGAAUACUACAUAAUUUUUUUUGUUUGGUAUUAUUGAAAAGAAAUUUCAGAUUUGUCGUUCACAAUCAACGUUAAAAUCUGAAAGGUGAAUAAAUUUGUAAAAAGGAGAAGAGAAGGAUAUCUCUAUUUAGGCAAAAUGAAUUGAGUUUGUUUUAUCCUUCAACUUGCUUAACUUUGGUAUAUAAUGUUCUAAUUCAUACCAAAACUCAACAUAAAUACAAAUAUUCUGAAUAUGCUCUUAUAUGUUUGAAAUAUGUGUUUUCAAUCGUAAUGAUUUAAGAUG
rnacentral:lncRNA from 1 species